UGCCAAAAAACUACCACUGUGACUUGCCACAAAGCAAACAAUGAGCACUACUCUUUUGCUGACAAAAUGAAAGAGAUGACAGGCAAAAUGUUCCACCAUGAGAAUCACGGUCAGCAAUCCGCCUGCCAUAGCUCCAAAACUCAACAAUCAGCAUGUCAUGGCUCCACUGCUAUGCAUGGAGGUCAUGCUAAUCAUAGCCAGCAAAAUGCAUGCCAUGGCGCGAAACCUCAACAUUCAGGAUGCCAUGGCUCCACUGCUAUGAAAGGAAGUCAUGGUAACCACAGCCAGCAGACAGCAUGCCAUGGCUCGAAGAAGGAAGGGGGUUUCAUGCAUAAAAUAAGUGAUCAG
rnacentral:lncRNA from 1 species